GACUUGGUGGCCUGAUCUCACGCCUGACGUCUGGGGGAAAAAAAGGAAAGAAAAAGAAAAGAGUUCAAAAGAAGAAGUUCUGUUUUGAAAAUCCACAAGCCUAGUUUCAGACCUACAGUUCCUGUAAUUCCUCUUUGUGAGCCACCUUUGACAGACUGAACUGUAUCUUCUGUCUGCACAGCGUGCCACAUGGCAGUGCAAGGCAGGCAGUCCUGGAACAUCUUGAGACAUUUGAUGUGGCCACUCCACCCGAUGAUGCAAGAAAGCAGACGGUACCGUGCUGCCCACAGGUGGUGCAGUUGGAGCCUACCGGAAAGUUUGAUUACCUGGAACAUCUGACUCAUGAAGUCGGUUGGAAAUUACAGCCACCCUGAGUUGACAACCACCCUGGAAGAAAAGCAACUCCACCAUCCGUAUCACACUUUUUAAGAGUUCUCUUGGAUAGCUUCUCAUCUAGGCUGUUACUUUUGGGGGGAGUUGGUAGGGGGUUUCACAGAAGGCUUCUGUGCACCUGUAGUUAUCCAUAUCACUACAAAAGUAGCCUUGCUCUUUAUAGUAAGGAAGAUCAUAGGUUUCCACAUGGUAUCUGAUCACAGUGCAGACAGAGCACGGACACAGCCUAAACUGUAGUAGGACCAUGGACCCAGACAUGGCCCUUGGAGGCUGCCUGGACAAUGGACAUCAACAGGGGAUCAGGUGGCAAGGCAAGCCAUUCCAUAUGGCCUAGCAUCGGCGUGGUCCACAAACAUCAGCAUGGAUUCAGGCUGCAGCACAAUACAAACCAAAGGAUCCUUGGUGGUAACAUGAGUCACAUGUAUCAACACAGCCCCUAGCUUUAUUAGGACCACUGACUUCAUGGCCCAUAGACCAUGGGCCUCAGGUGACUACACGGGAUGCUCACAUGCACAUGGGGCCCAGGCAGCACAGCCCAAGGACAUCACCAAGUAUUCAGUCAGCAACACAGACCACUUAAGUCCACAUGAAUCACAUAAUAAUGGCCUCGGGCAGCAGCAUGGACCACAAGCACCAUCAAGGCCUCCAGUAGCAUCAAGGACCACGGUGGUCCUUCAAGGAGGUCCAAUCCAGUAAGUGAACAGUUCCUCAUCACCGGCCUCCAUAGCUGCCCAGAGCCAGGGUGAUCCAGUAGUCAGGUGGCUGAAUCUGUCUGGCUAAGCGCCAGGCAGCUGCACACCACCGCAUAGACCCUACUAGGCAAUAGCAACAUGUCGACCUUAGCCUUCUCUCAUACCUGUCAUUGCCUUCGCAUCUCCAGUUCUGCCUCUCUCCACAGCACAGGUACUGCUCUGUUUAUAUCUUUCUUACCUCAUCAUCACACACUUGUUCGUCAUAGUGGCUCCCACUGCAUAUGCCAUAAGGAGGAGCAGCUUUUAACCGUUUGUUUUAGAGAAAAAAUGUAAAUAAGUAUAAUUUAAUUAUAAAUUAAGUGAAAUAAUAAGUAUAUAUAACAUUAAUAGAGCUUUCAAUGUUUGGUA